rnacentral:rRNA from 1 species
GAUGAACGCUGGCGGCGUGCCUAAUACAUGCAAGUCGAGCGAACAGAUGAGGAGCUUGCUCCUCUGACGUUAGCGGCGGACGGGUGAGUAACACGUGGAUAACCUACCUAUAAGACUGGGAUAACUUCGGGAAACCGGAGCUAAUACCGGAUAAUAUAUUGAACCGCAUGGUUCAAUAGUGAAAGACGGUUUUGCUGUCACUUAUAGAUGGAUCCGCGCCGCAUUAGCUAGUUGGUAAGGUAACGGCUUACCAAGGCAACGAUGCGUAGCCGACCUGAGAGGGUGAUCGGCCACACUGGAACUGAGACACGGUCCAGACUCCUACGGGAGGCAGCAGUAGGAAAUCUUCCGCAAUGGGCGAAAGCCUGACGGAGCAACGCCGCGUGAGUGAUGAAGGUCUUCGGAUCGUAAAACUCUGUUAUUAGGGAAGAACAAAUGUGUAAGUAACGAUGCACGUCUGGACGGUACCUAAUCAGAAAGCCACGGCAAACUACGU